CCGGGUGAGUAAUGUAUGGGGAUCUGCCUGAUGGCGGGGGGUAACUACUGGAAACGGUAGCUAAUACCGCAUAAUGUCUACGGACCAAAGCGGGGGACCUCCGGGCCUCGCGCCAUCAGAUGAACCCAUAUGGGAUUAGCUUGUAGGUAAGGUAACGGCUUACCUAGGCGACGAUCCCUAGCUGGUCUGAGAGGAUGAUCAGCCACACUGGGACUGAGACACGGCCCAG
rnacentral:rRNA from 1 species